rnacentral:rRNA from 1 species
CUCUCGGGUGACGAGUGGCGGACGGGUGAGUAAUGUCUGGGGAUCUGCCCGAUAGAGGGGGAUAACCACUGGAAACGGUGGCUAAUACCGCAUAACGUCGCAAGACCAAAGAGGGGGACCUUCGGGCCUCUCACUAUCGGAUGAACCCAGAUGGGAUUAGCUAGUAGGCGGGGUAAUGGCCCACCUAGGCGACGAUCCCUAGCUGGUCUGAGAGGAUGACCAGCCACACUGGAACUGAGACACGGUCCAGACUCCUACGGGAGGCAGCAGUGGGGAAUAUUGCACAAUGGGCGCAAGCCUGAUGCAGCCAUGCCGCGUGUAUGAAGAAGGCCUUCGGGUUGUAAAGUACUUUCAGCGGGGAGGAAGGCGACGGGGUUAAUAACCCUGUCGAUUGACGUUACCCGCAGAAGAAGCACCGGCUAACUCCGUGCCAGCAGCCGCGGUAAUACGGAGGGUGCAAGCGUUAAUCGGAAUUACUGGGCGUAAAGCGCACGCAGGCGGUCUGUUAAGUCAGAUGUGAAAUCCCCGGGCUUAACCUGGGAACUGCAUUUGAAACUGGCAGGCUUGAGUCUUGUANAGGGGGGUAGAAUUCCAGGUGUAGCGGUGAAAUGCGUAGAGAUCUGGAGGAAUACCGGUGGCGAAGGCGGCCCCCUGGACAAAGACUGACGCUCAGGUGCGAAAGCGUGGGGAGCAAACAGGAU